GCGCAAGCCUGAUGCAGCCAUGCCGCGUGUAUGAAGAAGGCCUUCGGGUUGUAAAGUACUUUCAGCGGGGAGGAAGGGAAUGAGGUUAAUAACCUUGCCCAUUGACGUUACCCGCAGAAGAAGCACCGGCUAACUCCGUG
rnacentral:rRNA from 1 species